AUUACGAGUCUCAAAUAGGACGAAACGCACGUCCUGAAU
rnacentral:hammerhead_ribozyme from 1 species